UGGUGAACUGUGAACAAAUGUGUUUGUUAUGCAUAUCAGCACCUCUUGUAUUUGCAUUCUUCCCCUAGCAGUAAGGUCAACGGCACUCAGAUGGGAAAUAACCGAAGCAUCUUAUGCUGUGGCAGUUGCGCUCUUCUUCUUUGGCCACUGACUCUUACUUUCUCUUUCUGGUCAAAUCUUCAUUCUUUCAGACCUCUAUGCUGGGUUGAACAUAUGUCGUUGGACAAUGAAACUGGAUUAGACAUACCUGGAAUAAGGGUCAGGUCAGUCACAUGCCUUGUUGCAGCAGACUAUUUCGUCCCUGGAUAUUUUUUUUGGGCUGUCUUAAUUGCCAGUUUAGCUCGUAUUGGAUAUGAAGAAAAGACCAUGUACAUGGUUGUAUAUGAUUGGAGGUUAUCUUUCCAGAACACUGAGGUUCGUGAUCAAACUUUGAGCAGAAUAAAGAGCAAUAUUGAACUCAUGGUAGCAACAAAUGGUGGAAAUAGGGUGGUGGUGUUCCCACACUCCAUGGGGGUCCUCUAUUUUCUGCAUUUUAUGAAAUGGGUCGAAGCACCCAUGGGGGGCGGUGGUGGUCCGAACUGGUGUGAGAACCAUAUUAAAGAUGUAAUGAAUAUUGGAGGACCUUUCUUAGGAGUUCCCAAGGCUGUUGCUGGGCUUUUCUCAUCUGAAGCCAAAGAUGUUGCCGUUGCUAGGUAUAAGGUAAUUGAUUCAUUUAUUUAAAGCAAAAGGGAAUAGCAAAAGAAUGGAAUAUUAUUGGAUGCUCGACAAUCUUGGCGGAGCUUUUCCAUCGUCUGGACCUCACAAGUCCAGGGAGUGCCUGCCUCUGAUCCUCAUCAUCAGGAACAAGCUCAAGUAUGCACUGACGUAUCGUGAGGUCAUUUCUAUCCUGAUGCAACACCAUGUACUUGUUGAUGGCAGGGUCAGGACUGACAAGACCUACCCUGCUGGGUUUAUGGAUGUCAUUUCUAUCCCUAAGACAAACGAGAACUACAGGCUGCUUCCGUCUUCACCCAAUCAGGGAUGAGGAUGCCAAGGUUAGGCCAUUGUCUGAUGUUUGACGUCGGCAACAUGGUCAUGGUGGCCGGCGGGAGGAACACCGGGCGUGUAGGAGUGAUCAAGAACAGGGAGAAGCAGAAGGGCAGCUUCCAGACCAUCCACGUGCUGCUUGGAGCUUUUUGCUAUGUCUAGUUUUCUCCUAUUUGUUGUACAGGAAAACAUAGAAUGGAAUUCAAAUUUGGUGGCCGCAAAAGUGUGGAGACUUGAUUUCAUAUAAAGUUAUUAGUGCAAACAAUUGUAUUUUAGUUUAGAUUUAGAGUACAUUUAUGUAUGCGUUGUUUGACAAUGCUUAUUUAUGAUAUAUUGAAUGGUACUUAUUUAUAUUAUAUUAAUUAUAA